UACGAGGGGGGCGAGCGUUGUUCGGAAUUAUUGGGCGUAAAGAGCGUGUAGGCGGCUGGGUAGGUCCGUUGUGAAAACUCGAGGCUCAACCUCGAGACGCCGAUGGAAACCCCCCGGCUAGAGUCCGGAAGAGGAGAGUGGAAUUCCUGGUGUAGCGGUGAAAUGCGCAGAUAUCAGGAAGAACACCCGUGGCUAAGGCGGCUCUCUAGUACGGUACUGACGCUGAGACGCGAAAGCGUGGGGAGCGAACAGG
rnacentral:rRNA from 1 species